UACGGAGGGUGCAAGCGUUAUCCGGAUUCACUGGGUUUAAAGGGUGCGUAGGUGGGCAGGUAAGUCAGUGGUGAAAUCUCCGGGCUUAACCCGGAAACUGCCGUUGAUACUAUCUGUCUUGAAUGUAGUGGAGGUGAGCGGAAUAUGUCAUGUAGCGGUGAAAUGCUUAGAUAUGACAUAGAACACCCAUUGCGAAGGCAGCUUACUACGGGAUUAUUGACACUGAGGCACGAAAGCGUGGGGAUCAAACAGG
rnacentral:rRNA from 1 species